AAAAAAAUGACAAGAACACACUUGCAUGUUUAUACCACAAGAAAAAGCUAAGAGUGAACAGGACUCCCAGAAUUCCUUGUGCCACAUGAGACAGAGGGUUCAGCAGAGAGCUCAGAGCCAGAAUACACCAAUCAUCCCUCAGACACUCAAACCAGCGAGAGUGAAGAGGACUUCCACAGACUGCAGGGCUAAAUGUCAAAGACCAGAAUAACAUCAUCUCAAUUGCCCUCCUAGUUACCUACAAUCAAAAUGUAUCUGGAUGAUUAAGAAGAAGUACUCGAAGCUAUUUAAGGUCUCUCAACAGAACCAAAUACAUAUAAUACACAAAAGGUGUGCAUCAGGAUUGUGCUCCAUGUACAAUGCAACAGGAAUGUCAAUGGCAAGUGGCUUUUUUACUUUAGACAGCUUCUUUAAUGUCUUUUGGAAAAUAAAUCCAAGUAAGUUCUAAGAAA